rnacentral:lncRNA from 1 species
UGCUCUAAAUAAUUAUAAUUAACAUUAUCUUAAAGCAGUCAUAGAACUCCUUGUAUACUUACUGCUUCAGCUUAUCUCAUUACAUGUAAGUAACGGUGGAGUAGUCAUAUUUACUGUGUCUUGUGCCUGAAAAUAAUUAGUCUUUUUUAUGAUAUGAUUAUUGUAUUUUCAAUUUUAGAACUACUGCAAGAUCAUAUCAUGUUAUGCCAUCGAAUGGUUUAUAAGAGCAAAGAUAAAACCAUAAAUCUUAAGGUGUUAGAUGGAUUUGUUUUUCUUGAGUUUGGGUGUGUUUUGUAUUUAUUUUAGUUCAUAACCAUAGAUAAGUUGAAUGAGUUUUUCUUUUAGUGAUGAUCUGACUUACUAUUUAAAUUAAUAUUGUCACUCUUCUUUACUAUUUUUUCUUUUUCGUUAUCAUCAAUUUUCUCUCUACAUUUUAAAAAAUGCCUAAUUAAAUUUCGAUUCUUCACCAUUCAGAUUCUUUUCUCAUCCAAAUAUAUAAUUGAGCCAAUACUAUGUGCCUUUACCGCAGCAAUCCAUCUCAAGACCUGGCAGACGUUGGGUUUAUGGUCGCGUUUACUUAAUUAGACAGAGGCAACGAUGGGCAUGACGAUGACGUUAAUAUCAUUCCCCUCAGUUAAUCCUGAAGGUCACGAAGCGUUAUGUACAGCAAGUUCUUCUCAUUUUGCGUCUCAAAUCCAAGUCAGCGCCACGUCUCAUCCAAAUAUAUAGUAGAAGAAUUCUGCCCAUAUAUGUAAGAAACAUUAAUGUAUUUGUUGGUGCUUGAGAAAAUAUAGUCAACAGAUUUUACUUUAUUUUGGUUAAAAUUGAACAGGUAAUUGUUUUUUUUGAAAUCAAUAAUAUCUCAUUUGUCUAUAUGUGAACUGGCAGUUGGUACUUGGUAGUAGCAUAGUCCAGGAUUAGGCUGGUUCUUGUCAUUCAGCAUCUCUCCCUCU